GGGUUUUUAGCUCAGUGGUUGAGCAUUUGACUGCAGAUCAAGAGGUCACCGGUUCCAACCUUGUAGGGCCCU
rnacentral:tRNA from 1 species